rnacentral:rRNA from 1 species
CACUCCUGCGGGAGGCAGCAGUGGGGAAUAUUGCACAAUGGGCGCAAGCCUGAUGCAGCCAUGCCGCGUGUAUGAAGAAGGCCUUCGGGUUGUAAAGUACUUUCAGCGGGGAGGAAGGCGAUAAGGUUAAUAACCUUGUUGAUUGACGUUACCCGCAGAAGAAGCACCGGCUAACUCCGUGCCAGCAGCCGCGGUAAUACGGAGGGUGCAAGCGUUAAUCGGAAUUACUGGGCGUAAAGCGCACGCAGGCGGUCUGUCAAGUCGGAUGUGAAAUCCCCGGGCUCAACCUGGGAACUGCAUUCGAAACUGGCAGGCUGGAGUCUUGUAGAGGGGGGUAGAAUUCCAGGUGUAGCGGUGAAAUGCGUAGAGAUCUGGAGGAAUACCGGUGGCGAAGGCGGCCCCCUGGACAAAGACUGACGCUCAGGUGCGAAAGCGUGGGGAGCAAACAGGAUUAGAAACCCUGGUAGUCC